rnacentral:rRNA from 1 species
GAUGAACGCUAGCGGCAGGCUUAAUACAUGCAAGUCAAGGGGGUAGCAAUACAACCGGCGCACGGGUGAGUAACACGUACACAACAUACCAUAUACUGAGGUAUAGCUUCGGGAAACUGAAGGUAAUCCCUCAUAGUAUUGUGAAAGGGCAUCUUUUUACAAUUAAAGUUUCGACGGUAUAUGAUUGGUGUGCGUUUGAUUAGCUAGUUGGUAGGGUAACGGCCUACCAAGGCAACGAUCAAUAGCUGGCGUGAGAGCGCGACCAGCCACACUGGAACUGAGACACGGUCCAGACUCCUACGGGAGGCAGCAGUAGGGAAUAUUGGACAAUGGGCGAAAGCCUGAUCCAGCCAUGCCGCGUGAUAGAUGAAGGCCCUCUGGGUUGUAAAUAUCUUUUAUCUGGGAAGAAACACUUCUAUUCUUAGAAGCUUGACGGUACCAGAGGAAUAAGCACCGGCUAACUCCGUGCCAGCAGCCGCGGUAAUGUGUGACC